AGGCAUUACAGACUGAAUUAACAGUUUCGGUUCAGGGCCUUUUGCUCAGGCUUCAACACUUCCACCUUUUACAUCAGGGUAGGUGGUUUGUUAUAACUUAUUAUAACACCUGUUAACAUAAUGGUUACCAGUUAUAAAAUAUAC